rnacentral:rRNA from 1 species
CAGCCGCCGCGGGAAUACGGAGGGAGCUAGCGUUGUUCGGAAUUACUGGGCGUAAAGCGCGCGUAGGCGGUUACUCAAGUCAGAGGUGAAAGCCCGGGGCUCAACCCCGGAACUGCCUUUGAUACUGGAAGUCUUGAGUAUGGUAGAGGUGAGUGGAAUUCCGAGUGUAGAGGUGAAAUUCGUAGAUAUUCGGAGGAACACCAGUGGCGAAGGCGGCUCACUGGACCAUUACUGACGCUGAGGUGCGAAAGCGUGGGGAGCAAACAGGAUUAGAUACCCCAGUAGUCCCUGUCUCUUAUAC